GUCUAUACAGAUAGGCCCCUUAAAAAGAAUAGAAAGACCAAACAACCCAGGAGCAAUCCUUUGCCAAACUGCGACACAAACGCAUAGCACUCCUGGUUCCGACAUCUGUUUGCGAAAAAAAAAGUCACCUCCGUUCCCCUUUCUCCUUGCUCUCUCCUGAGGCUACUGCCCCCGAGUCUGCUCCUCAAUUUCGUCCGCCGGAUCUGCCAAUCGACACAGGCGAGCACAAAAUCGUACUCUCUGUAGCUUGCACCGCAGAUUCGUUCCCGCCAACAUGGCCUUCUGCCUUUACUCGCAACCUAUCUGCCCCUGUAUGCCCUGCGCCUGUUGCUCAGAGGAAAGCAAUCACACAUCGGUGGCGGCGGCAGGUGGGCAGAAGCUGAGGGGCAGCGGAGCCAGAACUGGAGCUCGAUCUACCACCCUGGCAUCCUCAGUGAUGGUAACUGUGGCCAUCCCUCGGCCAUGGAGUCGCUGACUGCCUGACUCCCUAGGCGCAGUGGCUGCAGCAGGCUUGCACUUGCAGGGACCGAGAAAGACGCAACAAAAUGGCAGCCUACUGAAUUUGCUGACAGAGAAGAUGAAGUCAGACCUCCUUAGCUGGACACUGCUGCCUCCAACUUAUGGCGGGUGUCGGAGGCUGUGUAGUGACGCACUAAGGUGUUGCCCAUGGCCAAGUCGACGCGGAUGCCGGUGUGGGAUAUCUCCCCAUGGUGCCCUCCAUGAGUGUGAGAUUGCCGGCGGCACUGUGCGAAGAGCCCCGCAUGGGGCCCAGGUCCUCGCCGAAGUGGCUGAGGUGCACGUACAUCAGGAGGAGGCAGGGAUCAUAGUGGCGCACAGCGACCGCUCCAUCGGCGACGAUGCACACACCCUUUCCCCGCUUAAAUCAACCAGAAAAUGCCUUGAAGAGGAGGGCGCCGAGGCCUCCACCGCGCCGCCAUCUGCCUAGGGAAGGAGAGGAUAGCCCCGAGCCCUUCCUCCACGGCGGCUGUAGAGGAAGACGCCGAGCGCCCCGUUGUACCGCCAUCUGCCUUGGGAAGAAGAGGAGAACCCCGAGCUCAUCCUCCACAGCGGCUCAAGAGGAGGGUGCCGAGGUCCCCACCACGCCGACAUCUGCCUUGGGAAGGAGAGGAGAGCCUCAAGCUCUUCCUCCACGAUGGUUGAAGAGGAGGGCACCAGAUCCCCACCGCGCCGCCAUCUGCCCCGGGAAAGAGAGGAGAGCCCUGAGCUCUUCCUCCACGCCGUCGGCCGCCUCGGUAGGUGGCAUGGUGGGCAGAGAGGGGAGAAGAGGACGACGACAAUAGGGAAGGAUGUGAGGAAGAAAAUUGGGGCAAAACAACCCCUGGAAUUGUUCGAUGGUGGGGAUCGUGGGGCGCCGCUUUGACCGAAUCAACCAGAAGGCAAGGAGUCAUCCAUGAAAAGAGGAAGGAGAGAGGCAUUAACCGGUAGCCGGUUUCCUAUCCAUCGAAGGAGAAAAAAAGAUGCAAAAAGAUUACCUGAGUGGAUCACGGAAGGGGCAAAAUAAAUAGGUACGUGUCAACCAACAACGAAAGGAAUGAGUGGAUAAAUAGCACAUCUACAGUGCCUCAGUUGUGCAGAUUGCGUGAAAUCAGCUGCCCUUUAUAUAGUGUAUAAUUUGCUAUUCAUAAUGAUUUAACAAGCAAAUGAAUCUGAAUCCAACUCUGGAUGAUGAUGUUCUGUACUUGGCUUUACUUUAAAUGAUGCUAAGUGUGAUGUGACCUCAGUAGCUUUGGUACUGAUUGGUUGCUCACCUGUUUGGUUGGAUCUUGUGGGCUACUCAACUUUGCUUGCAUGUUUGGGGAUCAUACUAACUAUGAAUGCCAAUAUGCUUGCCUGUGAUGAAAUCUAGGGUUUUACUGAUGGUUAUGUGCCUAGGAUUUUCUGUGUAGUCUUUACUAGCUGCUAAGUAUUGCAAGACAUCCACUGGUGCUAUCUGUGCAUAAGAUCUUGCUUCUGUGCACAAGAUCUGUAUCUGGAUGGUUUCUAUUUUAGUGGCUUUUUAGACUAGCAGUGAUCCUUGGUGAAAACCAAGUGAUGAUUCACCCUGUUGAGCAUCUGCUCAACCCCAUGACUGUGUCAUGCAUGAUUUAUGGAUUAGAUCCAUUGGAUCUUUUCCAGGAACUUAGUAUACCUUGUUCCAGCUCCUAGAAUGAGAUUUUGUGUUGAUGCAGACUUGUGGUUUGUUCACAGCCCUUCACCUCCAGUCCUGGUUGAUCUUCUAGGUCACCAUGAUUUCUGGUGGCUUAAGUGGUUGUGUGGGUUGGUUCUGUUCUUGAGCAAGAACUGGAUGAACUAUGUGUUGCUUUAGCUUCACCCUUACCUGGUGAAUUUCUUAUCUGGUCGACUACUACAGUUUCUAGGGUUUGUGCUGCUUUUAUAUGAGCCCUACUUCUUCCCUGGCAUUGACACACAAGCCUGGCUUGCUUUGUGACUAAGCUGAUGCAUGGCCUUGCUGUGGCUUGCCUAGCUCAAGCUCUCAUAUGCUGAAACUUGAGCCCUCUGUGGUGCUCAAUCUUGGUCUACUUGAUCCUAUCUUGUGUUGUCCAUGCUUUGGACAAGCACAAGUGUGCAGUGAAAGUGUACUCUGUCCAAACUGAAUUUCUGUUAUGUAUUCACUCUGUCCAAACUGAAUUUCUAACACUUAACAUUCUGGCUAGCACUUUUGAUUCUGUUUUGCAGGUUUGAAGUUGAAUAUGACCAGAAGAUAUUCUUCAAGGCAUUUAGUCUAGGUUUUAGUUUAGGACAAUCUUGUAAUUUUCCUUUUUAUUUCUGUUUAUUAUUCAUCAAUUCUUGUAUUAAGAAUAUUGUAAAGACAAUGUAUUCUGUGUUGUUUAUCAAUAAAGCUCAAGUUUUUGUUUA